UAGUCCAUGCAGUAAACGAUGGGUGCUAGUCGUCGGACUUAUGUUCGGUGUCGUAGCUAACGCGUUAAGCACCCCGCCUGGGGAGUACGGUCGCAAGAUUAAAACUCAAAUAAAUUGACGGGGACCCGCACAAGCAGUGGAGCAUGUGGUUUAAUUCGACGCAACGCGAAGAACCUUACCAGCGUUUGACAUGGGAAGUACCGGUUACAGAAUGGUAACCUUCAGUUCGGCUGGCUUCUACACAGGUGCUGCAUGGCUGUCGUCAGCUCGUGUCGUGAGAUGUUGGGUUAAGUCCCGCAACGAGCGCAACCCUUAUCGUUAGUUACUAACAGUUCGGCUGAGGACUCUAGCGAAACUGCCGGUGAUAAGCCGGAGGAAGGUGAGGACGACGUCAAGUCAUCAUGGCCCUUACGUAUAGGGGCUACACACGUGCUACAAUGGAGAAUACAGACGGACGCUAAGCCGCGAGGGUGGGUGCUAAUCCUAGAAAAUUCUU
rnacentral:rRNA from 1 species